rfam:Actinobacillus minor NM305 Contig_153, whole genome shotgun sequence.
ACUUGUCUGGGGUGUGCGUUGUUAGUUACGUCCCUGAGCCGAUAAUUUAAAACUUUGAGUUGGAUAUUCAGUUGCCGGUGAGCAGGCUUACCUUGAGUAAGAAGCCUAAAGGCAAAUACAUUCGACUCCCUUGAACCGUUAGGUUCAAGGACCAUUACUGAUGACGGCACUUCGGACACCUU